rnacentral:lncRNA from 1 species
AGCAGGGCCACAUUUGAGGAGCCAUUGGCCAAAAGGAAGAGAUUCUGGGUUCUUCCCUCUCAUCUCCCUCAUCUGGUGCAGCCCUGGUUGCUAUACCUCCAGAAGAAGCAGUAAGAAUCUCACACAUUGCUCUUUCUUUCUCGCUCUCCGCCUCUUCUGGUUCUUGGAGCGUCUAUUA